GGUUAAGUGACUAAGCGUACACGGUGGAUGCCUUGGCAGUCAGAGGCGAUGAAAGACGUAGUAACUUGCGAUAAGCCCAGAUUAGGUAGUAACAACCAUUUGAGUCUGGGAUUUCUGAAUGGGGAAACCCACUUACAUAAGUAAGUAUCAUUAACUGAAUACAUAGGUUAAUGAGGCGAACCGGGGAACUGAAACAUCUAAGUACCCCGAGGAAAAGAAAUCAACCGAGAUUCCGAAAGUAGCGGCGAGCGAAAUUGACUAGCCCUUAAGCUUUACACGCGUUAGACGAACGGUCUGGAAAGUCCGACGAUACAGGGUGAUAGUCCCGUAGUUGACGACGUGUGUUCAGUGAAAUCGAGUAGGGCGGGACACGUGAUAUCCUGUCUGAAUAUGGGGGACCAUCCUCCAAGGCUAAAUACUACUGACUGACCGAUAGUGAACCAGUACCGUGAGGGAAAGGCGAAAAGAACCCCUGUGAGGGGAGUGAAAUAGAACCUGAAACCGUGUACGUACAAGCAGUAGGAGCAGGCUUUGUCCUGUGACUGCGUACCUUUUGUAUAAUGGGUCAGCGACUUAUAUUCAGUGGCAAGGUUAACCAUCUAGGGGAGCCGUAGGGAAACCGAGUCUUAACUGGGCGUUCAGUCUCUGGAUAUAGACCCGAAACCAGGUGAUCUAGCCAUGGGCAGGUUGAAGGUUGAGUAACAUCAACUGGAGGACCGAACCGACUAAUGUUGAAAAAUUAGCGGAUGACUUGUGGCUAGGGGUGAAAGGCCAAUCAAACCUGGAGAUAGCUGGUUCUCCCCGAAAGCUAUUUAGGUAGCGCCUCGGACGAAUACUACUGGGGGUAGAGCACUGUUAAGGCUAGGGGUCAUCCCGACUUACCAACCCUUUGCAAACUCCGAAUACCAGUAAGUACUAUCCGGGAGACACACGGCGGGUGCUAACGUCCGUCGUGGAGAGGGAAACAACCCAGACCGCCAGCUAAGGUCCCAAAUUACUACUAAGUGGGAAACGAUGUGGGAAGGCUCAGACAGCCAGGAUGUUGGCUUAGAAGCAGCCAUCAUUUAAAGAAAGCGUAAUAGCUCACUGGUCGAGUCGGCCUGCGCGGAAGAUGUAACGGGGCUAAGUAGUAAACCGAAGCUGCGGCAAUAUACUUUUGUAUAUUGGGUAGGGGAGCGUUCUGUAAGCGGUUGAAGGUGUGUGGUAACGCAUGCUGGACGUAUCAGAAGUGCGAAUGCUGACAUGAGUAACGAUAAAGGGGUGAAAAACCUCCUCGCCGGAAGACCAAGGGUUCCUGUCCAACGUUAAUCGGGGCAGGGUAAGUCGACCCCUAAGGCGAGGCCGAAAGGCGUAGUCGAUGGGAAACGGGUUAAUAUUCCCGUACUUCUUACAAUUGCGAUGGGGGACGGAGAAGGCUAGGUGGGCCUGGCGACGGUUGUCCAGGUUCAAGUGCGUAGGCUUAAGAGUUAGGUAAAUCCGGCUCUUUUUAAGGCUGAGACACGACGUCGAGCACCUACGGGUGUGAAGUCAUUGAUGCCAUGCUUCCAGGAAAAGCCUCUAAGCUUCAGAUUGUAAGGAAUCGUACCCCAAACCGACACAGGUGGUCGGGUAGAGAAUACCAAGGCGCUUGAGAGAACUCGGGUGAAGGAACUAGGCAAAAUGGUACCGUAACUUCGGGAGAAGGUACGCUCUUGAUGGUGAAGUCCCUCGCGGAUGGAGCUGACGAGAGUCGCAGAUACCAGGUGGCUGCAACUGUUUAUUAAAAACACAGCACUGUGCAAAAUCGUAAGAUGACGUAUACGGUGUGACGCCUGCCCGGUGCCGGAAGGUUAAUUGAUGGGGUUAGACUUCGGUCGAAGCUCUUGAUCGAAGCCCCGGUAAACGGCGGCCGUAACUAUAACGGUCCUAAGGUAGCGAAAUUCCUUGUCGGGUAAGUUCCGACCUGCACGAAUGGCGUAAUGAUGGCCACGCUGUCUCCACCCGAGACUCAGUGAAAUUGAAAUCGCUGUGAAGAUGCAGUGUACCCGCGGCUAGACGGAAAGACCCCGUGAACCUUUACUACAGCUUGGCACUGAACAUUGACCCUACAUGUGUAGGAUAGGUGGGAGGCUUUGAAGCACGUACGCCAGUAUGUGUGGAGCCGUCCUUGAAAUACCACCCUUGUAGUGUUGAUGUUCUAACGUCGACCCCUAAUCGGGGUUGCGGACAGUGCCUGGUGGGUAGUUUGACUGGGGCGGUCUCCUCCCAAAGAGUAACGGAGGAGCACGAAGGUGGGCUAAUCACGGUUGGACAUCGUGAGGUUAGUGCAAUGGCAUAAGCCCGCUUGACUGCGAGAAUGACAAUUCGAGCAGGUGCGAAAGCAGGUCAUAGUGAUCCGGUGGUUCUGAAUGGAAGGGCCAUCGCUCAACGGAUAAAAGGUACUCCGGGGAUAACAGGCUGAUACCGCCCAAGAGUUCAUAUCGACGGCGGUGUUUGGCACCUCGAUGUCGGCUCAUCACAUCCUGGGGCUGAAGUCGGUCCCAAGGGUAUGGCUGUUCGCCAUUUAAAGUGGUACGCGAGCUGGGUUUAGAACGUCGUGAGACAGUUCGGUCCCUAUCUCGCCGUGGGCGUUGGAAGAUUGAAGGGGCUGCUCCUAGUACGAGAGGACCGGAGUGGACGAACCUCUGGUGUUCGGGUUGUGUCGCCAGACGCAUUGCCCGGUAGCUAAGUUCGGAAUCGAUAACCGCUGAAAGCAUCUAAGCGGGAAGCGAGCCCUGAGAUGAGUCUUCCCUGAUACUUUAAGUAUCCUAAAGGGUUGUCGGAGACUACGACGUUGAUAGGUCAGGUGUGUAAGUGCUGUGAGGCAUUGAGCUAACUGAUACUAAUUGCCCGUGAGGCUUAACCAU
rnacentral:rRNA from 1 species